UACGUAGGGGGCAAGCGUUGUCCGGAAUCAUUGGGCGUAAAGAGCGUGUAGGCGGCCAGAUAAGUCCGCUGUGAAAUCUCGAGGCUCAACUUCGAGCUGUCGGUGGAAACUGUCUGGCUAGAGUCCGGAAGAGGAGAACGGAAUUCCUGGUGUAGCGGUGAAAUGCGCAGAUAUCAGGAGGAACACCGGUGGCGAAGGCGGUUCUCUGGGCCUGUACUGACGCUGAGGAACGAAAGCGUGGGGAGCGAACAGG
rnacentral:rRNA from 1 species